UUUUCACAUCAUAGAUAAUACGUACAUGUAUUACUAUAUCGGUGAACGAUCUAUGAAAUUUACAAGCUCACAUAAAGACUGCUAUACUAUACUUAUACUUACACUACUGAUAUUCUAGCUAUACUAUACUUAGCUAUACUAUACUACUUGCCAGAGUCACACACUCCUGGUCUUUCACCGUCCUGGUCAGCGUCUAGGCCCAUGUCAUGCAUGACAGUUCAUCAGCGUCUGGCAUAAAGCUGGUACCCUUUGGGAGGUAUCCUACUAUCCCCUCUCCUUCAUAGGCACUGUCAUCACCAGGCUGUCCUCAAGCACAUCGGCCACAUCGGCACAAGUAAACAAUCUAGCCAUAGCUCGUGCGGUAAGAUGAUUCUACAGCUCUUCCUCUAUACAGGGAUGUGCGUAGUUCGAGCUACUUCCUAAGUAUCGCACAAUUAGAAUUUCGCAAAAAAAGUCACUAUUGCGGGCCACGAUCGUGGCCCGUGACGGGUGUUAAAAAAAAAUUAUUCAUGACGUUUGAGCGAACAUAUCUCCGGAUAGAAAAUAGCUAGGAGGUCGAUCUUGGUAAGAACAAUUCACUUUAUCGAUUCAACAAUAAAAAUAAACUCAGGUAUAUGCUGCAGAUGAUGUUAAGUUAAGUACAGUUCCAGUUUAAGUACAGUUCCAGUGUGCGAUAUGCUAUCGCACAAGAUAAUCGGCACUAAUAAUCGGCACUAUUGCUAUUGGCGAAGCAUUGAAGAUGUUUUAUGAAGAAAGGACACAGUCUCUGCAGAGUCAGCUAGGUUGCUUACUUCACAAACGGGGUGUUGAAUUAUUGUUGCUGUAUUUCAACAGCCACGACUAACAACACCAUUCUUGGGACUGCGUACUUAUACGACAUCAAUACUACAAAUCACAUUUUGGUUUCAUUGUAAGUUACCAUAAUAAUGUUAUAGGUUACAUGCACAGCGGCCAAACAUGAGGCUAGACUAUGAUUAUUGCUAAAAUAUGCCAAAAGUUCAAAGUCUAUAAAAUUUAUUGCAGCAUUUUUCAUACUUUUGCAGUUCUCUCCUCGCUAGCGCAUUAUAAGAUUCCUGUUGAGCACAAUCUGGAUGUUGGGCCAGCAGAGACAAACUCUAAUUCGCAACUCCUGCUUUCAGACGAAUUUAUUUUGCAUGAGGUACAACGUGGACUACUAGGGGAUUAUUGCGAUGGGACCUACUACAAAUCACACCCACACCCACUUUUCACACCCACUUUUCAUGAACAAUCCGGAAGCACUCCAGCUAAUCAUCUACUACGAUGAUGUAGAGGUUUGCAAUCCACUUGGGUCUAAAUCUACGAAACAUAAGCUAGGUAUUGUAAUUACUUGACACCCAAACGAACCACACAGCAUUUUCUUGGGCAACGUGCAACCAAGGUAUCGUUCUACUGAGAAAAGUAUUCAGUUGCUGGCAAGUCAUCUGUACUAGUUAAAUACGGGGCAAUUAUGGAUGAGAUAAAGAAACUAGAGGUAAGUUUACUAUAAAUUAUGAUGCCUUCAUUGCUCACUGGAGUAACCCUAAACAUCAAUGGCAGCUCUCCAUUACUUUAGUUCCUGGAGAUAAUUUAGCCAGUCAGUACCUUGGAGAAUGUAGACAUUGCAUGGCAGUCAAUGAAGACAUGCAGACAACCUUGUUUUGUUUUUAAUGUUGGUUUGCAAUCACAGUUUAACCCUAAUUGACAGUGAAGUGAAAUGUCUGUAAAUUCUCUAUCGGGUUUCCAGAGCAAUAAAAUGCCUAGCAGCCCAUACAACACAAAAUUGUGUUGCCAUAACAACCACGGUUAUUA